rnacentral:lncRNA from 14 species
UCAUCACUGGCUCAGAAAUACAGGGCUUCCUGCUCACUGCACCUCUGACUUUUCUUUGCAGAUCGAUACAGGGAGUACCAGUGGAUUGGGCUCAAUGACAGGACCAUCGAGGGUGACUUCCUGUGGUCAGAUGGUGCCCCUCUGCUCUAUGAAAACUGGAACCCUGGGCAGCCUGACAGCUACUUCCUGUCUGGGGAGAACUGUGUGGUCAUGGUGUGGCAUGACCAGGGACAGUGGAGUGAUGUACCCUGCAACUACCACCUAUCCUACACCUGCAAGAUGGGGCUUGUGUCAUGUGGACCUCCACCACAGCUGCCCCUGGCUCAAAUAUUUGGUCGCCCUCGGCUGCGCUACGCGGUGGACACUGUGCUUCGAUAUCGGUGCCGAGACGGGCUGGCCCAGCGCAACUUGCCGUUGAUCCGCUGCCAGGAGAAUGGGCUUUGGGAGGCCCCUCAGAUUUCUUGCGUGCCCCGAAGACCUGCCCGUGCUCUCCGCUCAAUGACCGCCCCAGAAGGACCACGGGGACAGCUCCCGAGGCAGAGGAAAGCACUGUUGACACCUCCCUCCAGUCUCUAGGGAACAGGCGUGGAAGACUACUGCCCCCACCAGGGCCCUCUCACUUCAACUGCCUGUGCUCUUCCCUAUGAUAGGGGGUUGACAAGAGAGGGGUGGGACUGGAAUUCAGAGGACAAGCGCCCGAAGGGGUUUCUGGGAAACACUUGGGUGACUCCGCCCAACCUAGACCCCGCCCCCUCAUACAAGGGCCUCAGGUUUUACCCGGUAAGUCCCUAAGUGCCUCAACUGCCUUCUGCUGUCAGCUGCCUCCUUGUUUCUCGAUUUCUUUAGGGGACACUGUGCUACUCGUUCUUAAUUUUCAAAGGGUUUUUAGGAUGGAGUACCAGCAAAACCAGGUGGAAAUAAAGUUGUUUGAACCCAAAGUUUGAUGCUUCUGUGUACAUGUGGACAUUCAAACAGUGUUGGGCAGACCCUCCAAAGGUAAGUGCCGCUGCGAUUAUUACCUUGUAAAAGGUCAGAGAAGUCACCAAGAACUUGAAGAAUAGAACAUGCCUAGCGCAAAAGGGUUGCCCAGCCGGUUGAGGAGUCAUCACUGCCUGCAUCAGGUCACUAGCCAAAUGAAGAGUCGGGUCCUGUGGGUGCGGGGGGUGAGGAGUGAUGGUGGCAUCAUUUUGAGCUUCCGAGAGUGCCUCCGUUCCUGCAGUGCCGAAGGGAACUGAGACAGCGACAGAGAAGCAGUGCGGGUGGGGGAUAUUGAAAAAAACAAAAACAAAACAGAACCAAGCUAAGGAAUCCUCCGCCUCACCAAGGAGCUCAAGCUAUGACCAGUAGAG